AGUUAUUUGUGAGCAGGAACUGUGUUACCUUCUUUCUGUAAACCCUGCUCCUAAUGGUGCCUGGCACAAGGUAAGCACUCGGUGACCGUGUGUGCCCUCCUGCUGUUGUGCUCUUGGGUAUGACCUGUGGGGAGGGACCUCAGCCACAGUCAUCCUUGCCUUCACUACCAUUGACUUCCUCUCCUCUGGCUUCUGGAAGCAUGGGGUCCCUUAUAGUUACUUUCUGCUAACAAGCCAGUUUGUCCAUACAGCCAUCUUCCUAGCCAGGCUCCUACACCAGUCCCUACACGGGCAGGAGGAAGGCUGGCAGGGAAAGCUGGGCUGCCCAAGGCAGGAGGGUCUCUCUGCACAAAGCAGCUGAGAGUCCAGGCAGCCAGCUCCAGCAGGUAAGUCAGCUGGGUCCUCAGGGACUCAAAGCCCCAGCUUCUGCCCUCCCACAGAGCUCUCAGGGCCAUGGCAAAAAGCAGAGCCUCCUACUGGUAGGAAGGUGACAGGCACCAGGAGCCUAAGCAGGUAGGCGUGGGGAGUGGUGCAGGCAGCUGUAGGGACUUCUAAGACAGAGCUAAGGCAGAGCAGGGGCGUUCAGGGCCCUGUGAGAGUUCCCAGUGGGCUUCUGGAAUGGUAUAGGGGGUGGGGCAAAACUAGCCUCCUGCACACUGUGUACGCUGCCUUUCUUCAAACCAAAUAGUUGAGGCCACAGGAAAUGUGAGUUUCUGGUCCUUCUGAAUUACAAAUGGGAGCAGCUUGCUCUUUGUCCCCUUGUCCCGGCUUUGUUAUCCCAGAGCUGGGGCAAUGGGCUACGGCCCAGGCGGGUCUGCCUGUGGGCCCCCAGCUGGCAUAGCCAGGCAAGACAAGAGAGCCACUGUCACCCCUUCACGCACCUACCUCAGUUUUGACAGGGUUUCCAGCAGCAAGAUUAAUAGGAUCAAUCUCAAGCCCCCAGUGGAAAAUGGAGCACAUGGCCCCUUUCCUUGGUACUAUGCUCCAGCAGGCCCAAGUCGCUGCUCAGGGACUAAGGAAGCUGAGGUGAGAUAAAGGCUCCUAAGUGACAGCCCAGUUCACAUUCCAGCUCUCAACCUCCCAAAGAAACAUAAAGCACUGCCGAGGAGUCAGGACUUCCGACCUCCAUCAGGCCACGUUGUCUCAUCUCCCUUACCGUCCUUGUAUUUCUGUCUUCCAAAGGAUGGAAUAAGCAUAAUCAUAUAAUCAUGUCCCCACCCUACCUUCUGGGACCAUCACAAAGAUAAAAGAGAUCAUCUAUAGGGAGUAUUUUAACCUCCUAGGAGAGAGGCAC
rnacentral:lncRNA from 1 species